GUAGGGAAUCUUCCACAAUGGACGCAAGUCUGAUGGAGCAACGCCGCGUGAGUGAAGAAGGUUUUCGGACCGUAAAGCUCUGUUGUUGGUGAAGAAGGAUAGAGGUAGUAACUGGCCUUUAUUUGACGGUAAUCAACCAGAAAGUCACGGCUAACUACGUGCCAGCAGCCGCGGUAAUACGUAGGUGGCAAGCGUUGUCCGGAUUUAUUGGGCGUAAAGCGAGCGCAGGCGGAAGAAUAAGUCUGAUGUGAAAGCCCUCGGCUUAACCGAGGAAUUGCAUCGGAAACUGUUUUCUGAGUGCAGAAGAGGAGAGUAGAACUCCAUGUGUAGCGGUGGAAUGCGUAGAUAUAUGGAAGAAUACCAGUGGCGAAGGCGGCUCUCUGGUCUGCAACUGACGCUGAGGCUCGAAAGCAUGGGUAGCGAACAGGAUUAGAUACCCUUGGUAGUCCAUGC
rnacentral:rRNA from 1 species